rnacentral:lncRNA from 1 species
GGGCCUGGCUGGCCCUCUCUGUGUGGUGCCUGCGAGGACCACGGUGGGAGCUGAGCACUACCCCACCCCCGAGGGGACAGUGUGUGUACGGGGACGCCCUCUCUAACAUCAUCCCCGCAGCUGGGGAGGAUCUUUUAGUGCCGAGGUGUAAACAGUUUUAUUCAUUUUUAAGAAUCAUGCAGCAAUCCAUAAAUAUUGCAUUCUUGAUGUCCCCACUGUAGUGUGACCACAAGUGUACUCCAGGGAGAGGGGUACACAGAUGGCACAAGCAGUAUACACAUGCACACACCAGGUGUGCAGACCAAAGCAAAGUGAGCGACCAGCGUGCUAAACUCCAGGAGAGGACUAAGCACCUGCUGCGAGGAAGGACAGGGAUCCUCAGGAAGGGGGUCCUGGCCACUGUGGCUACUGUUUACCUGAAUCUCCUUCAUCUCAGCUCCUUCCUCCCUCCUCCCAGGAGAAAAAAGAUGUGUAAGAAAUUAGCCCAUGGACCCCAGCUCCACCUGAACAUCAAUAUACCGUGAGGACAUUCCAGAGUCCCUGCAAAAGGUCUCGUGAGCUGCAGUUCAUUGAGUGGCUUUAGGUCACACGGAGAAAGGAGGGUUCCAGUUCCCUCUGAGAGGGCAGCCCAGGAGCCGGCACGGAAGGAGCAGGAUGCGUGUCACCUGAGACUCCGAUGACGGUGCGAGCCACAGCACUCGUGUGUGAGAACGGAGAGAAGCAGGUGCUGACAGGUGCAGAGCCUGCUCCUGCCCCCUGGGCUAGGUGGGACAUGCGUACUGACCUCACGGGCUUGCUGUGAGGACUAGAUGAGAGAAUGCGAGCGUUGGCCAGAGCCCAGCACAACACCUGACCCAUAGGAGGACCUGUUCAGCGGACAAGGCCGACCAACUGUAGAGUGUGGCCGUGAGGUUGAGAGAGGCCACUCACAAGUGUCCAGGGUCAGCCUCAGGCCAGCCCAGGACAUGAAACCCUUUAAUGGCAUGUAGAGUCAACAGGACUCCGGAGCUGCGGCUGUUCAGUAGGAAAGACCAAAAGCAAAUGGUAAACAAGAGAGAAGACACACAUGCAUGCACAAAUAAAAACAGCAGCACCACCACCACCACCGCCGCCGCCACCACCAGCAAGCCAUGGAAUGCUGGGCCGGAGAGGCUGCCCAGAGAGCUGUCCUGACUCUGAAUUCACAGAAGUCCUUGCUACAAACUCCAACCUUCUAUUCUAUAGAAGCCUUAGCCAGGGCAGAACAUCGGUUACUUGUGGAAGACUCAAGAAUCAGAUCUGAAGUCUGCUCUCCUGGCCUCUUGGGAGAAGAAAACAAAUCCAUUCCACGGGCUAGGGAAUGUCGGUGAAACAACCUGGCCACACCGCACUUCUUAGAAGCAAAUAUUCUAUGGGAGAAACAAUCACAAGGGGUAACUCUAGAGCCUCAAGCACUGAAGUCAUCAACUGAGUUGGUGACACUCCAAACCCCCUUGGGCUGGGGUGCAAGAGCUGACGGACGCAGCCUUGGCGGCCACCUUCUCCUUCAAGCUCCUUGGCCAGGUGGGAGCCGUCAGGUCCACAUGCACACCUCCAACACUUCCCAAGCGAUGGCCAGCGCUAAAGCAGAAGCAAUAGGAUGACAUCUGCUGGUGCGUCUGUAUCCAGGCCGGGCAUACGUGUGCUCUGGAGGUGCCCCUGAGGGAGGGGCCUCAGAGCAGCAGGGGGAAGAGUCUGGCUCCUGGAACACAUAGUGUUCCCUGCUUGGGGGAGACUUUCCUGCCCUCCUUCUUCCUCCUACGUCCUUGCUCUGUGGGCCAUUCCUUCUCUUCUAGCCUUACUGGAAACAACAUUCUUCCAACUGAAGAUGUAACUGAGGCCUGAAUUAUGGUAAAGGAAGAUUAUUACAACAGCCUUUAAAAUACUUGCCUAAGCUGAGCUCCUGAAGAAACUUGGACCUGUCUCCUUGACCACGCCUUUAGACCCGCACCUGACAUCCAUGGCUCUGAGGCCCAGAAAGAGCUGAGGAGGUCAUAGAGAUCAUCAAUGCUCUGCUUGCUUUGAUGUACCAUUAAGAAGACGAUCUUUCCUCUAACAGCCCCAUACAACUGAGCAGCGCCACCACGUCAUACCGGUACCCUUUUCUUUACCCCUUAAAGAAUACCCAGGAAAGAAAGAUAACUAAAGGAAGUAAAGGACCAGAUCUUUUACCACCUACAGAAGGAAGGCCCUGUGAGUCUAUGAAGCGGCAAAAUGAGUAAACUGAUUGGCUGAAGACAGAACUAAUCAUCCUACUGGUAUCUAACUCCAGGGCCUACGUUAAUAGCAUAUAUUUCCAUCUGUGUUUAAUAUGCCUCAGAGGCUGAGUAGAGGCAGAUCUUGCUUGGAGAGGCACCAUCUGCCUACAGGGAUUAGAUCCGAGCCACAUUACCCAUAUAUGCUCAGAAUGGUCUGUCAGGAACACCCUUGUUAAUAGUUUAGCUGAUACUGUUUCUCUAAGGUGGAAGUAAAAA